UGUUUCUUAGUCCGUUCUGGCCUGGUGAAACGCUUCAGAGGCAGAGUGCGCGAGCGGAAUGUUUAUUGCCGAUCGGCAGAGCCGAGUCGAGCCGAGCUCGAAGCGGUCGCGCCUGCGUCGCCGUCGUAUAACUCGCUGAUUUCGCCUGGAGCUUGUUUAUUUCAAACCUGAAACUCGCCGCGGCAACCACGUGCUAACGCAACUGCUGAGUACAAGCCACUCGGACUUGGACUGUCUUCUCUGUUUGCGGGAACGCUUCUCUGUUCUCGUUCGAUCGCGAACGAACGUUCGAGCACCAUUGAUUGAAAGAAAACGGAGCAGUCGGGAGGAAAAAUUUUUAAAAAGAAAAAAAGAGUUCUCGUGAAUCGUGUAUUGAAAAAAAAAAAAAAAAAAAUAACAAUAAUAAAAUAGAGAAAAGGGGGAAAUAGAAAGGAGCAGAGAGAUACGCUUACACUUGUAUGAGCGUCGGUGUUGGAGGAAGCGCGCUCGAAUUCUCCUUUUUACAGAAUUGCCACGCUUCGUCGGCGCAUCGAACUUCUUCUAGAAGUUACCACACGAUAGCCGCGGACGCUCUCGCGCCGAACAUAUCGAUCUUUCCUUUAGGACAGUUUAAAGGGGUCUGUUUCAGUGUAGUGCGUGACGAUUCGGAAAAAGAAGACGACGACGAAGAAGAAGAAGAAGACUCUUCGAACAACACCGCUGUGAUACGCUUUCUCAAAAUCGUCUUUACCGCUCUGUGAUCUGUGCUUUGUGAUAACAAUAUUUAUUCUUUUACGAGAACUUUUACAUUCAUUUCAGUCCCGAUUUAUCGUAAUCCGUUUCAAGGGUCACCGCGUUUAAUCGACGACUGACACAUCGUGAUUAGUUGGCCCGAUCACCAUUGACGCUGGCCGAUUUUCUAAGAAAAUAUCGACCUGCCCACACGAGUAACGUGAAAACCUACGCUGGGAAAUUAAUCGGGACGCGACAAGAGAGAAAGAAGAAAAGAUAAAGAGCACCGAAGGGGGAAGAACCAUUUUCGAACGUGCUUCCGAGAUUACGCGGAACGUUCCUUUUUUUCUGAAACCAAGUCGUCGACGAUAAUUGAUUUUGCUCUCGACAAGACUGGAAGCACCAAGUUAGAAAGGGAGGGCACGUGUGACGAAAAGGACAAGUGAAACCAAGUCGAUUGUGUGGCUCUGAUCGAUCCGAUAUUAAACCAGCGCGCGAGAAAGCUAGAAUCGGCUUUAGUCGAGCGCGUCCGCCGCCGAGAAGAAAGCGAGAAAGAAGUUUCUCGAAGCUUGGCUGCCGCUGCGACUGCUAUCGCUGGUGCUGUCGUUGGUGUUGACUCUCCUGGAACAUCGAAGUAUUCAACUGUGGAAUCGAAAGGAAGCGGUAGUUAUCCCCGGUUCAAUAUAACUGACGGGUGCAUAAUUGCGGGAAGAAAACACGGCAACGAAAGGAAGAAGAGAAGUUUCUCGAAGCUUGGCUUGCCGCGCGCGCGCUGACUCCGCUCUAACACGCUCGAAAAGGAGAAGCGCCAGCGGACGAUAAACACGACAGAGAAAGAAAGAGGGAAGGACGGCGUGCCGUCAUCUCUGAGAACGAGGGAAAG